CCUACGGGGUGCUGCAGUGAGGAAUAUUGGUCAAUGGACGAGAGUCUGAACCAGCCAAGUAGCGUGAAGGAUGACUGCCCUAUGGGUUGUAAACUUCUUUUAUAUGGGAAUAAAAUGUUCCACGUGUGGGAUUUUGUAUGUACCAUAUGAAUAAGGAUCGGCUAACUCCGUGCCAGCAGCCGCGGUAAUACGGAGGAUCCGAGCGUUAUCCGGAUUUAUUGGGUUUAAAGGGAGCGUAGGUGGAUUGUUAAGUCAGUUGUGAAAGUUUGCGGCUCAACCGUAAAAUUGCAGUUGAAAAUGGCAGUCUUGAGUACAGUAGAGGUGGGCGGAAUUCGUGGUGUAGCGGUGAAAUGCUUAGAUAUCACGAAGAACUCCGAUUGCGAAGGCAGUUCACUGGACUGCAACUGACACUGAGGCUCGAAAGUGUGGGUAUCAAACAGGAUUAGAUACCCGAGUAGUC
rnacentral:rRNA from 1 species